GGAGUUAGCCGGUGCUUCUUCUGUGAGUGAUGUCCUUCCUGCCGGCUAUUAACCCGCAGGCCUUCUUCCUCACUGAAAGUGCUUUACAACCCGAAGGCCUUCUUCACACACGCGGCAUGGCUGGAUCAGGGUUGCCCCCAUUGUCCAAUAUUCCCCACUGCUGCCUCCCGUAGGAGUCUGGGCCGUGUCUCAGUCCCAGUGUGGCUGAUCAUCCUCUCAGACCAGCUACGGAUCGUCGCCUUGGUGAGCCGUUACCUCACCAACCAGCUAAUCCGACAUAGGCUCAUCCGAUAGCGCGAGGCCCGAAGGUCCCCCGCUUUCCCCCGUAGGGCGUAUGCGGUAUUAGCCUGGGUUUCCCCAGGUUAUCCCCCGACUACCGGGCAGAUUCCUAUGCAUUACUCACCCGUCCGCCGCUCGCCACCAGGGAGCAAGCUCCCCGUGCUGCCGCUCGACUUGCAUGUGUAGGCUCGCCGCCACGCGUCAUCUGAGCCACUAAUACAACUACUGA
rnacentral:rRNA from 1 species